UGCGUAGGUGGCAAGCGUUAUCCGGAAUUAUUGGGCGUAAAGAGCGCGCAGGUGGUUGAUUAAGUCUGAUGUGAAAGCCCACGGCUUAACCGUGGAGGGUCAUUGGAAACUGGUCGACUUGAGUGCAGAAGAGGGAAGUGGAAUUCCACGUGUAGCGGUGAAAUGCGUAGAGAUAUGGAGGAACACCAGUGGCGAAGGCGGCUUCCUGGUCUGUAACUGACACUGAGGCGCGAAAGCGUGGGGAGCAAACAGGAUUAGAUA
rnacentral:rRNA from 1 species